rnacentral:misc_RNA from 1 species
GAUGAAGAACGUAGCGAAAUGCGAUAAGUAAUGUGAAUUGCAGAAUUCAGUGAAUCAUCGAAUCUUUGAACGCACCUUGCUCUCCUUGGUAUUCCGAGGAGCAUGCCUGUUUGAGUGUCAUGAAACCCUCAAACCCAAGUUUUGGAUUUCGAUCCAUGCUUGAGUUUGGAUUUGGAUGUUUGCCGGUGAUGAACCGACUCAUCUUAAAAGUAUUAGCUUGGAUCUGUCUAUAUGACUGGUUUGACUUGGCAUAAUAAGUAUUUUGCUGAGGACAUCUUCGGAUGGCCAGGACCUAGACUACUGUCUGCUAACUAAACCAUCACUUUAAGUGCAUCUUUGGAUGUUACUCAUUGUGUAACUUUGACAUCUGGCCUCAAAUCAAGUAGGACUACCCGCUGAACUUAAGCAUAUCAAUAAGCGGAGGA